rnacentral:rRNA from 1 species
UACGAAGGGGGCUAGCGUUGCUCGGAAUCACUGGGCGUAAAGGGUGCGUAGGCGGGUCUUUAAGUCAGGGGUGAAAUCCUGGAGCUCAACUCCAGAACUGCCUUUGAUACUGGCAACCUAGAGGCUGGAAGAGGUUAGUGGAAUUCCCAGUGUAGAGGUGAAAUUCGUAGAUAUUGGGAAGAACACCAGUGGCGAAGGCGGCUAACUGGUCCAGAUCUGACGCUGAGGUGCGAAAGCGUGGGGAGCAAACAGG